rnacentral:pre_miRNA from 1 species
UUAACUCAAAUUUGUAUGCAGUUGGAACAGCGUCCCUAGUGGCAAACGUAGGCAAGCGUUCCAACUCCACACAAAUUUAAGUUA